UAUUAAGAUACUAAAAGCAAGUAAUGAUCUCUUAAAUCAGUAUAUGGUAAAUUAGCGAAUACCCUUAAUGA
rnacentral:tRNA from 1 species